rnacentral:lncRNA from 1 species
GUUACAGAUCAGCUAAAUUAUCUAUAGCAAAGGAUCCUACAAAUUAAUGUAAGAUACAGUCACAGAAAAUAAUUAUAUUCAUAAGUACGUCUGAGUCAGUGACAACCCUACAACAGAUGUAUCCAUCGGAUCGCCAUCAAUGAUGGUGAUACAUGGCUGUGUACAUAAUGUAUAUACAACUCGUCUAAACAUCAACCCAACAAUGUUAGAUCUGUAAAUUUGCUUUCGCAAAUUUUUGGUUUUUCCCUCGCCGGGAUUCGAACCCAUGCUACUGUGAUAUCG